CCUACGGGAGGCAGCAGUGAGGAAUAUUGGUCAAUGGACGAGAGUCUGAACCAGCCAAGUAGCGUGAAGGAUGACUGCCCUAUGGGUUGUAAACUUCUUUUAUAUGGGAAUAAAAUGUUCCACGUGUGGGAUUUUGUAUGUACCAUAUGAAUAAGGAUCGGCUAACUCCGUGCCAGCAGCCGCGGUAAUACGGAGGAUCCGAGCGUUAUCCGGAUUUAUUGGGUGUAAAGGGAGCGCAGGUGGAUUGUUAAGUCAGUUGUGAAAGUUUGCGGCUCAACCGUAAAAUUGCAGUUGAAACUGGCAGUCUGGAGUACAGUAGAGGUGGGCGGAAUUCGUGGUGUAGCGGUGAAAUGCUUAGAUAUCACGAAGAACUCCGGUUGCGAAGGCAGCUCACUGGACUGCAACUGACACUGAGGCUCGAAAGUGUGGGUAUCAAACAGGAUUAGAUACCCGUGUAGUC
rnacentral:rRNA from 1 species